AUACAACUCGGCGAGUCGGAUGAAGAUUAGACUCGAUGUUAGUAUCGAAGAAGAACUCGUCGAGUCUUUGUCAAACUCGACAAGUAGAAGCAAGUAGAGGAUUAGAAUGGAUGAUGGGGACUCGGCGAGUUGGCGGCCCAACUCGGUGAGUCUGGUCAAUUGAAAGUUGACUUUGACCUGGAAGUUGACUUGACCAGGGGUAAAUAGUCAUUUUACCCUGAGAUUAGUUAUCAGUAUUUGAUUUAGUGUUUAUGGGAUUUGUAGCCGGGGAGUUCCGGAGCAGCAGUCAGACAGUUUUAGAUCUAGCAUCUCAGCAGCCAGCAUUGCGAGGUGAGUUUCCUACUAGUAGGAACGAGUCUAUGGCAAUAAUGCCCACCCGUUUAGUCAGCAGUAGUUACGGACUUCGGUCUGAUGCAGUAGUUCAGUGUCCUUGAUGUCUUUGUGAUUCAAGCAAGUCUUUGUGUUAUGUGUUCCGGACCUCGAUCCGAUGCAGUAUGCAAUAUAUGUGUUUAUGCUAGUAGUUAUGAUUAUGCUAUGCUAUGUUUAGUCAGUUUCCGGACUUCGGUCGGAUGCAGAGGGCAAGGCCCUAGUUAGUUCCGGACUUUGGUCCGAUGCGGUUUCCGGACUUCGGUCCGAUGCAGAGGGUAAGACCUUGGUUAGUUCCGGACUUCGGUUCGAUGCCGUUUCCGGACUUCAGUCUGAUGCAGAAGGCAAGGCCCUGGUUAGUUUCGGACUUCGGUCCGAUGCACUUUCCGGAUUUCGGUCCGAUGCAGUGGGCAAGGCCUAGUAUGUGAUUAUAUGUUAUUGUAUGGUAUGUGGUAGUUUGGGGGAGCUCACUAAGCUUCAUGUUUAUAGUUUUAGUUUUGGUUUCAGGUACUUCCGCUAGCAAGGGGAAGAGCUUGGUAUGAUGGCAUCGCACACACCACAACUUCAGUUUUAUCCUGGGGGUUUUAUUCAGAUAUUUUGACAUGAUUGAUAUAGUUUUUGUUUUGGCACAGUUACUUUGCCUAUUGAGUUUUCAUCCUAUGGUUCUUAGUGUAUAUUGUUGGAUUAGUGUCUAAGUCCAUAACUGUUUUGGUAUGUACUUGACCCGAUGGUGCAUGGUCCUUUUGGGUUGCCUUUCACCAAAGCAACUUAAUAGGACAAAUUAUGGAGAGAGAGAGGAUUAAUUAUGAUUUAUUAAUAUAUUAUGAGAAUAAUAUAUUAAAGGAGAAAUCAUAUUGUUUAAUUAAUAUUAGUCAAGAAUUAAUAAGAAUUAAUUUUGUGGCUAAAAGACAUUAAUUAAAUAAAGGGGACUAGAACUGUCAAUUGUGUAAUAGUUGAAUAUUGGGCUAAUGGACUCCAUAGAGGAUGGAGUGGACGAAUUCUAUGGGGAAACCCAUUAGAAAUCGUCCAAGGCCUCUAAGGAGGGAGUCCAUGGGUUGCUUAGGGCCUAAGCAGUCAAAUUAGGGUUUCCUUGUUAGAUAACCCUAAUAGCCUCACUAUUUAAGGACCCCUAGGGCACCAAAAACGUGGCCAACUAAUUCCUUAGGGUUUCUACUGGUUUUUGGGUGCCUCCUCUCUUAUCAUUCUUCAUCCUCUUGCUCUUGGUGUUUGUGAGCCAUUAGAGGAGUGACACUUGUGACUCUAAGCUUUCUAAAGCCAUUACAAAGGAAGGUUUGAGAUUGUUAUUGCUACAUAACAAUCAAGGUAAGAUCUAAACCCCAAUCUUAUGUUAAUAUGAUUAAUUGUAUGCUAGAUCUAGGGUUUAUAGCUUUGGAUAUUCAAUUGCAUGUUCAUUAGACAAACUAGAUCCAAAAGCUAUUAGGGUUUGCAUGUACACCAUAGGAAUGAUGUUUUGCUCAUAACCCAUCAGUGGUAUCAGAGCCAUGGCUGUUUGUUUAAUGUAUUUGAUGCUAUUAUGGAUUAUCUUUGCUUAAAAUUCGAAAUUUAGGGUUUCUGGGGGCUGAACUCGCCGAGUCCAUGCCUGACUCGACGAGUCAGCUGGUCUGAAAGAGGGAAAAUCGGGAUUUUGUGUUUUUUUUGCUGUGGGAUAGUUACCAAAACGGUUUUUAUUGAUAUAAAUCAGAUUUUUAUGAUAUUGCGUGAUUAUCUUUGCCAAAAUUAAAGAUAACUUCAUAUUAGUUAAAUAAUUAUUUCCUUAUAUGAUCAGAUUUAAUUAUUUGGAUUAUUUGGUGAAUUAUUUUGCAAGAAUUUGGACUAGGUCAAAUUAGAUAAACACCAAUUAAUUGUUAAUUGCUUUAUUUGAAUUUUGUGAUCUAGAAUAUUCUUGACAAAGUUUGGAAAAGUUUCAAAUUAAUCCUUUUAUGUUUUAUAGUUUAAAUUUGAACUUCAAAGUUUUGUUUUUGAAAUUUAAAUAAGUUAAACCCUAAUGUUUUGAAAUGUUUCAAAACUUGCCCUCAAGUUUUGGAAUUUAAAAGUUGAUUAAAAGUUUAAUUUAGAAAUGUUAAAUUCUAAAACCCUAGUAUUGUUUUGAAAAGUUCAAAUCACACCCUUAUGGUUUUAUUAAUUAAUUAAAGUGUAUAAUUAAAGGAGAUUUAAUAAACCCAUAAAGUUUUGGUUUACAUUUAAUUAAAUUAAAAGUAUAAUUUAUUAAAUUAGACCACCUAGUAUUUUAAAAGUGUAAAAUACACCCUAUACUAUAUAUAACAUUAAAAGUCUAAUAAUAUAUAUGUAUGAGUAAACAGUCAGUCUUACCGUUAGUAGGCCUCAUUCACGAAGCUGGUCUAUAAGGGGUGUUUAAGGAAAUUGCCUAUAAAAUGGCGAUUGAAUGGGUAUCCACUCUUACCCACCGCACUCUUGACUAGUGGAGGGUCGUUAGCCGAACGGGUAGGAUAGGACAGAAACCUUCCAUUAUAAGUAUAAUGAAGUACAAAAGUAACUAAAUGCUUUUACAAAAUUCCCAAUCUUAGUUACUUUAGGCAAAAGUGAAUUGAUGCAAUUCCAUGAAAUUACACUUUGUGCCCUUGCGAAGACGUUAGUGGAGCGUGUGUGGUUAACCGGCACACUAAAUGGUUCUAAGCAAAGGUAGCAAAGGGUGACUCAUUGUUUGUCAUAGUUCGGUGGAGCGUGUGUGGUUAACCGGCACAUCGAAUAGGUGACUGUAACAUUGGGGGCACCAUGUAAGUUUGCAUGGUUAUUCACACCCUGUUUUGUGAUCCUCGGCAUCCCAGUCACAAAUCGAGGGGCAUAUCGAGAUUUAAACAUGCCAUUGAAAUGUUUAUUGAAUCUCAAAAUAUCUAGGAAUUUUCAAUAGAUUUAAAACUUAAAUUUCUUUUUCGUUUUUCAUGGUGGAAAUUGGUAAAUCGUCAUUUACCUACCUUCAAAUAUUCUGCAACUAGAUUACGGCAUCCCUCUUCUAGGUUGUAGAGUAUUGUGUUGGAUCCUAGCCUCGUUGUUUCAUUUGGGUGUCACAUCGAGGAUCCUAAUCAACUUAACUUGAAUUUUCUCCCGUUUUGUAGAUGUCAACGUAUGACAACUAUGGUCUUCCCAAAUCCCGUGGAACAAGCUUUCCACAUGAAGAUGAUAUUUCACGAUUCGAAUAGGGAACAAGAGAUCAUGCUUCACUUCCUCCACCUCCUCCAAUUAUUCUCCCUAACCCACAAGUUCAAUGGAUUGAAAAGUUCAAGCUCACUCAAGCGCCUUUGGCAAGUAAACAUGGAAAACCUAUGUGUGUACACGUCUUAGAGAUAAAGUCACACAUUGAUAGGUUAAAGAUGUUGGGUGUCGAGAUUUCAGGUAAGUUGGCUAUUGACUGGGUUCUUUAGUCGCUUUCUGAAUCAUAUAGUAAAUUUGUUAGAGUGUACUAUAUGAUGGAUCAUGACGUGACCCUCAUUGAUUUGACAUGUUUACUAAUAGCUGCUGAAUCAGCGAUGAUUUGGCGAGCUGGUUGAGAAAAUUUGUCUGGUAAAUCAAACUCCCAAACUUCAAUGGACAUUGAAAAUGGUGACAUUGGAGAUCCAGAAAAGGUAAAUUCUGAGAUGGUUCCUUGUUCCAUUCCAAAAGAGUCCAUUUGCUUCUAUUGCCAAGAGAAGGGGCAUUGGAGACGAAGCUGUCCUAUUUAUCUAAGAGAUCUAAGAAAUGUGAGAGUCAAAACGUAUGGCUCUACUUUAGGUAAAAUCCAUUAGCUAACUCUUUUAAGUUCCUAUUCUAGAUUCUUAAUACAUGAUGUAAUAAGAUUACAUUUGAUAUUUUGUAGCAUCAAAGAAAAGAAAGGAAGCUUAAGGGAAGAAGUGAGUUGAAUGUAAUUGUGAAGAAAUGGAUUUCGAUCGCAUUACUAGAAGAUUAGAUUUUUUGACCUACUACUUGGAGUUAGAAUAGAUUGCUAAGAAAUGUGUAUUAACAUAGUUUUUCAAUUGAAUUGCAUUGUAAGGACAAAUUUUUCCGCAAUAAAAAUAAAUUUUGAUUUUAUAUUAUUUAUUUAUCCUUGCAAUGACGUUUAUAAAAAAUUGAUGUUUGUAAGUUUCUAUUAUUAGCAAUAAUAGAUUUGAUUCUUAAUUAUGUUAUUUGUGGAAAGGUCAAGAAUUUACCAAAUAGGGAAAGUUCUGAUAGCCCAAGUUUAAUUGGACAGAAACUUGGAAUCAUACAACUUGGUUGCAUGAUGAAUGAGAAAUUUCAUAUUUGAAAAUUAGACUAAUUCGUUGACAAAGUGUCAAGUGAAGGACUAGGAGAUCGAGUACACAAGGUUAUGUGUUGAUCAAGUCCACCAUAAGAGUGUGACAACCCGAAGUUCGUUCCAUCGUCGUAACCCGUUCCGUCAUUAAAAAUUCAUCGUCUUGAAUUGUUUCCAUUUCGUUUCUAAAUUAAGUCAUUAAUUUUGAGUUUGCUAUUAUGACUUAAUUGGUAUCCAAACACGUUAGAAACUCAUGAAAACGCCCCAAAUUAUUAUUUGGAAAAUUUUUAGUUUUAUUCCGUCGAGUUAUAAAACAAUUAAAUCGGGUACGACUAAAAGUCUCGCUUAACAUCAGUAUCGGGUAGAAUUCCAUAGUGUCCCAAACUUUAAGCAUAUAUAAAGUUGAGAGAGCCUCAUUUGAAGCUUUUUCCACUCUCUCUCUCUCUCUAACCUCUCUCCUCAAGUUCAAGUUCUUGAUCCAAAAUCACUCAUUUCAAGCUCCAAAUCAUCAAGGUAACUAUCCUAGCUCCUAGUAUAACACCUUUAGCCUUCAAAUUCGUGAUUUAUAUGAGAAAUAGGACCAUAAACAUGUGUUUACGGCCCUGGAGCAUCCUUAGGCCGUGAACACAUGCAAAAGGGGUUUUUGAGCCUUAAAACCCUUCCAAACCUCAUUUGGAGCUUAGAUAUGACCUAAGGAAUUAUUUGCAUGGACUUAGAACACCUUGAACUCUUCACUUAGGGUGUAAACAUGAGUUUACGGCCCAAGCACAUGCUUGGACCGUAAACACCUAUUCAUGGGGAGUAAACUCAUUUUAAAGUUUUAAGAUGCCACUUAAACACACCAUAAGCCUUAGAAUAAAGUCUAGAAGCAACCAUAAUCAAGUUAAGGGCCUUAAACAUGCUAAAACUACCCCCAUAGGAGCUUACGGCCGUAAACCCCCCAAGAAUGGGUUCUUAGGCCGUAAAAUCCUAAAACUUAGUCAAAUGGUGCCUUAAAUUCAUUCCAUGGCUUGUAUAUUUAGCUAGAAACACUUGUAAUGACCUAGGACCACCAAAACGUCAAAGGAAGGUGUGUGGGGGAGUUUAUGGCCAUAAACUCUUAUUUUACUACCGUAAACUCCAUUAGAUGGUCCAUAUGUGGGUCUAAUCCAUUCCUAUACCCUAGAUUUGAUCCUAGCUAAUUUUCCCAAGUGAUAUAAGGUCAUUUAGCACCCUAGAACACCCCACCAUGAGUUUACGGCCGUAAACUCAUGGGGAGUGGGUCAUUAGGGCCAUAAACUCUCUUAUGAGUUUACUCUUGAAGGGUAAACGCCAUAUCCAAGCCUUAUACGUCCUUAGAUGUCACCCGGGUCACUCCAAACACUUAUUUUGAAGUGUUUUCGCAUCUUGGAGUGUAUAGUCUUAUCUAAUUAGUGGUUCAAAGUCUAAUUAGAUACAAUUGUGUAUCAUUUCAUAUUACAUAGGAACCUCGCGCGUUUUCAAGCCUUGAACUGACGUUUAGCAUCCAAACUGACACAUUCCGCGAUUGGUGACCCCUACCCUUUUUCAAUGUUUUUCAAUGUUUUCAGGGGGGGAUACAAGCAAAAGUACAAGGAAAUCUUGUACUCAAACUUAUGAUUUCAUUUGAUCUAUUUCAUAUUUCGUAUGCUUUUAACACGGAAAACUGUAUUAACCAAUCGUUCAACUUGUAGAGUAAACUGUCAUGUUAUUUGUGAAACUCGUUUUAAAAUGUUACAUUUUAUAUUUCACAAACGAAUUUCCAUAUUAUUGUUUUUAAAAGCAUGAAUCUUAAAACUUUAAAAUGUACUUGAUAUAACUCCCCGUAGAUACGAGAGUAAAGGAAUAAUAACAUUAAACUUAGAACUUUACCACUCCCCGUAGAUACGAGAAUGAAGGAAUAAUAACAUUAAACUUAGAACUUUACCACUCCCCGUAGAUACGAGAGUGAAGGAAUAAUAACAUUAAAUUCAGAACCUUACCACUUCCCCUAGUUACGAGAGUGAUGGGAUAGUAACAUUAAACAUAGAUCUUUAGACAAGUCCUUGUAAUACUCCCCCUAUUUACGAGAGUGAAGGACUAAUUAAUCAGAAUUUUCCGUUUUAUUGUCUUUUAAUUCAUUAAUCUUAAUAUUGGAGACACGUCCUUGUAACACUCCCCCUAUUUACGAGAGUGUAGGACUACCCCCGUAACCAGAAUCUCUUGGAGGGAGAACGUGACUUGAGUGUAUAGAUCUAUACGGGAUUGAUAACCCCGCACCUGGCUGCUAGCUACAGUCGAACCGAAAGGUUCAAGGGUGACAAAAGUCAUAAAAAGAUACUGGCCCUGUUUCGAGCUUUAUCCAGUCUAUAAUAUGGUUAUGGAACUCGCAAUUUAGAUUAUGAAUACUUUUAUACUUACUUAUUAGUUUUAUAUACAUGUUAAAACUAAUGUACUUUUCAAGGAUAAUCAGGUUUUCAAGAAACAUCACACGAACACAUAAAGUAUGGUAGACACUUGUACAUUACUUUCAGAAACCGAUAACCAACUAUACACUUUUAGGAAAAUAAGGGUUUUUCCUGGGAUAAUUGAACUGUUCUUAACUAGACCGUGUAACUAAUGGAUAACUAAACUUUACGUUUAGGAAAAUAAGGGUUUUUCCUGGGAUAACUGAACUGUUCUUAACUAGACCGUGUAACUAAUGGAUAACUAAACUUUACUUUUAGGAAAAUAAUGGUUUUUCCUGGGAUAACUGAACUGCACAUAACCGGACCAUGUAACAAACGGAUAACUAAACUAUACUUAUAAGAAAAUAUGGGAUUUUCUUGGAUAACAAACUUUUUCGGAAAAACAAAGGAAACUUGUACAUUUUCAGAAAACAAACCUCUUAUGAACUCACCAGCUUUAUGAUGAUUUUCAAACUGCUUGUAUUCUCAGGUCCAUAUUAGAUAGGUACCCACGAUCUUUUGGAAAAGACGGAGCGCUUAUCAGACUCGUCUUAUCUUUUGUUCAUAUGAUAUAUAUGUAUGAAACUUGUAACACUUUGAUUUCAAACAAAUGUAAUAACUCUAUGUAAUGUAUUGUUUUGUGUUUACUAUGCUUACUAUGUACAUUGGUUGUGAUAUACAUGAUGUCCUCCGCCCCGAAACAUUUCCGCCUUAGGUUUUGGGGUGUGACAAAGAGUAACAAAGAUAUUCAUCAUGAUUUACUAUGGUUAAGUAAAUAUGAUUAUACUCAUGAGAUUAAGUAUAAUUCUCAGCUCAUUGAAAGAGUUUCAAUAAAUAGCAGAACGAAUAAAGAAGAAUCAAGUAGGCAGAAAGAUAAAAGUUUCUCUAUUCUAAGAAGAAGGGAGAGUACCUUUUAUUAUGUUUUAUGAUAGGUCUUAAUGAUUAAGAACCAUCCUCUAAGUGAGUCUUAGUGCAAUUGUAUGUCUGAGAAGAGUAAUCAAGAAUUGAAGAAAUGGUUAAAUCAAGAAGUCAAUCAUACUUCGUUCCAAUAUCAAGUCUCAAAGAUAAGAUUGUGAAUUGAGUGACAAGUCUCAAGAAGGUUUAUAACAUUCAUCAAAUGUGGAAUUUGGAAAAGGUUUUCUUAUUCUUGCACAUUUGAAAUUGGAAAGUUGUGAUGUCUUGGAUAAGACAAAGACCAACUAGGACCAAUUUUGUGAAGUGUUUUGUCUUGAUAAAAGCUACACUAACUCUUGAAUAUUUGUUUGUCAAGAAAUGUUUAUUGACAAGAGAAUCUUAUAUGUCAAGGAGUCAGUGGGAGUCUUAAUGGUCUUGAAAGGUUUCAAGAACAAAUCAAGAAUAAACCUUAUCGAUCAUCACUAGCACACGACUUGAGGUUUACGACUUAUCGUGUUGACAUUAUUUUGUUUCUGCGCCAUUCCAAUUGAGUUAAUUAUGCAUGUGAGUUCUAUGAGUUCUCAUUUGAACGCAUAAAAGGCAAGCACCUUGAUCAAUGAAAAGUACAUUGAUAGGAAAGGGUGAGCUGCUUAACUACUUGGAAGACAUGGUGGGCACUCGUGUUACCAUAAGGCAAGAAAUCAAGAUUGAGAAAGUUCGGUCCAUAUGAGUUUGGAUUUGUCGCAAACUUUGGUUUUGACAAAUUCGCAUGGAUAGGAACACAUACACCAUUAAAAUCUAAGUGUCAUAAGAUUCCCUCCUUCAUGAAAAUGACUGUGAGGAAAUGCUUUCACUAAGAGAGAUUUUAAGAAGAUAGUGAUUGUGAAAAUUGUAUUCUCGAAUUCGAUUAUGGUUACGGUAUCCCUUUCCAUGAUUCGAAUUGUGAGAUUUGGCAAUUAGUCUGAAUUGUUUAGACACACAUAUGAGCUAUCUAAGGCAAAGGUGUAUAAGUUUAAGAAGCUUAGAUAAAGGAUUAUCAAAGCAUUAGGUAUUAGAAAUAUGAACUUAAGAAAUUCAAUAGGUAUUGUUUUCUGGAAGUUAAGUUGUUUUCUGAAUACAUGUCAAAGCUAGUGGGAGCAUAAGUGUUAUGCUUAUAUGAUAAUAAUCAUCAUGAUAGUGGGAGCAUAAAUGUUGUGCUUGUAUGAUUAUUAAGGCAAGUAUUGCAAGUUAGCAAUAUUAAUUAUAGAAAACAAGAGUUAUACUUUGCAAAGUCGUAAGGGUUGAAAAGUUGUUUUGCUAUAAUUAAGGGAGAGAAUAUUAUGCUUCAUUUCAAAUCUAAAGGCUUAGGUUGUGGAAUGUUAAUAAAUUUAGUCAAGGAUACAUAGUGUGUUCUCAAAUUUCGAUUAUGAUUAUGGCAUCCCUCUUCAUAGUUCGAAUUGUGAGAACGUGACACAUAAAAUAUUAUGGCAGAAGAUUGAUAAAGUAUCGUAUCUUUAUGUAAGACAUUAUGCAUCGUGUCCCAUACGCUUCGGGUAUAGGAUCGAUUGCAAAUGCUAUAAUAUUUGACCAUUCUAAAAUUUUCCAAAUGUCUAGCGCAUUUAGAGGGAAAAAGGACAAGAAUCGGUUUUGACUAAGAUAAUUAAACAACUAUCAAAGGACGAUCCAAAGUUCGCUGAGGAUUGGUCGCUUGUGAGUAGUUGGAAGUAUGGUAUUGGAUGGACCAUAUCGACAUUAUUAUGAAUAGAUAAGAUUCUAUUAAGAAUGAGUUGUCAUAUGGCAAAUAUGGAAAUGUUUCCAUAUUGGGAGUUGGAUAUUGAGAAUCUAUGUCUAGAUUAGAAACUUUUAUGCAAGAAGGAUGUUCAAAGGAAUGUACUUUGAGUGAGAGACAUCAUAUCUAUAGAAUUGUUUCUGAUAGAGAUUGGCCAAGUCUUGAUGAUUUUGAGCUAUGACUUUACGAAAGAAUCAUUGCAUAAAAUGUUAGAAUCUAGCAUAAGUAACAAGAAUUUGAUAUUCUUAUACUUAUGAUAAGGAUUGGGAGUUGUGAAAUGAGUAUGAUUGGAAAUGUGUUCAUUUGAUCUAUUUCACAAAGUAAGGACCAUAGGUAAACAUUGUGUGCAUGCUGAGAGCAUGGGACAAGUGUAGUAAUAAUUCAAGUAAGAAGUUGAUUACCCGAAACAACAAAUAAUGAGUAAUCAAUAUGGUGAUUAAAUAAAAUGUUUUAUUUAUACCCAGAGUUUGGGGCCAUAUGGGAUUAGUAUUAUUCUUGUGUUUCACUUUGCAUGUUUUGACUUCCUGAAUAAUUAAAUUGGUUCAGAACAAUCANGUUCAUAUGCUGGAAGUAGGUAUGAAUGAAGAUUGUCGUGAAUUGGUGUGUGGAUUGUCUAAAGUGUAUUAGACAUAAGCAAAUGUUUGCUGCAACGCUCAUUAGUGCUUAUGAAUAUGAUUUGAGCAUUGGAUUAAACCCACGCUCACUUGGAUCACUUCUUGGUCACGAGUGAUUGGUGAGACGAUAAUAUCUUAUAUUCUUGAAACCGAGAUACAUGAGUUGUAUCUUGUGAGUCGGUUACACAUUGAUAACAUGUAAACGCACCAAUAACUUGGUGUCAUAAAACAUAUUGUUGUGUGUAAUUCGGUGAGUGAGUGCAAGCAAGCAUUGAAUCAAAUUUUAUCCGUUCCUUUUAUCCAAAGUAGGAUGAAAGCAGUAUAUGUGGGCCCCUCGAUGAUUUAGUGAUGGCACCUAAGCGCUUCGCCAAGCCGUGACUAAUUUGAUGUGUUCAAUUGUAGUCUGUUCGUCAGUCGUCGUAAAUCGGAAAUUGGGAAACAACACACAGAUGAGAGAAUGAUUUAAAUCCAUGUCUCAAUCUAUACGAUAUCUAGAAUGGAGGAAUAUAUGAUCCCUUGUCUAAAGGACGUGUAUCUGAUAAGAUCAGAGUUGACAGCGGCUUUUGAAAGCUACGAUUGCAGAUCAGGAUCUGAAGUCAUACGUAGAAUAGUUAUUAGACUUAUCCAAGUGGGAGACUAUUGGAUUAGUGUCUAAGUCCAUAACUAUUUUUGUAUGUACUUUACCCGAUGGUGCAUGGUCCUUUUGGGUUGCUUUCACCAAAGCAUCUUGAUAGGAUGACUUAUGGAGAGAGAGGAUUAAUUAUGAUUUAUUAAUAUAUUAUGAGAAUAAUAUAUUAAAGGAGAAAUCAUAUUGUUUAAUUAAUAUUAGUCAAGAAUUAAUAAGAAUUAAUUUUGUGGCUAAAAGACAUUAAUUAAAUAAAGGAGACUAGAACUGUCAAUUGUGUGAUAGUUGAAUAUUGGGCUAAUGGACUCCAUAGAGAAUGGAGUGGACAAAUUAUAUGGAGGAAACCCAUUAGAAAUCGUCCAAGGCCUCUAAGGAGGGAGUCUAUGGGUUGCUUAGGGCCUAAGCAAUCAAAUUAGGGUUUCCUUGUUAGAUAACCCUAAUAGCCUCACUAUUUAAGGACCCUUAGGGCACCAAAAACGUGGCCAACUGAUUCCUUAGGGUUUCUACACGUUUUUUGGGUGCCUCCUCUCUUAUCAUUCUUCAUCCUCUUGCUCUUGGUGUUUGUGAGCCAUUAGAGGAGUGACACUUGUGACUCUAAGCUUUCUAAAGCCAUUACAAAGGAGGAUUGAGAUUGUUAUUGCUACAUAACAAUCUAGGUAAGAUCUAAACCCCAAUUUCAUGUUAAUAUGAUUAAUUGUAUGCUAGAUCUAGGGUUUAUAGCUUUGGAUAUUCAAUUGCAUGUUCAUUAGACAAACUAGAUCCAAAAUCUAUUAGGGUUUGCAUGUACACCAUAGGAAUGAUGUUUUGCUCAUAACCCAUCAUAUAUGACAUUUGAUGAGGUGAUUUUUAGUAAUAUUAAAACAAAAUUUUUCAAUUUCAUGUUAAUAUGAUUAAUUGUAUGCUAGAUCUAGGGUUUAUAGCUUUGGAUAUUCAAUUGCAUGUUCAUUAGACAAACUAGAUCCAAAAUCUAUUAGGGUUUGCAUGUACACCAUAGGAAUGAUGUUUUGCUCAUAACCCAUCAUAUAUGACAUUUGAUGAGGUGAUUUUUAGUAAUAUUAAAACAAAAUUUUUGGGUCGUAUAUUUGGGAUGUUUCAAGUUGGUAUCAGAGCCUUGCUUUGAGGGAUUCAGGCACACUUUCGAGUACGACUGGACUCAAACUAAGGAAAUGGUAAAAGAUUUUUAAACAAAAAAUAUUUUCAAAAGAAUUUUUGAAAGGAACCUUAAAAAGAAAUAAGUUUUGAGAAAAGGGAAAAGGGUGUGGUGCAUGCGAUCAGCCGAGCUCAAGUAAGUACUCCCAAAUUACCCAUACAAGUUUAUAUUAUGAUUAUCUGUUUCAGUUUCAGUUAAACAGCAUGCUAGAAUAGGAAUAAGGAUCUAGGAGGAUACCUUAUGUGCCUGUUUUAUGUGUUUCAGCUUUAUCUGAGCCUCGUCACAUGUGAUGGUACUCAGGUGAUGACUAAUUGGCAUUACAAAGAGGCCUUCAGCAGCUGAGGACUGGAUUCGGCAGAGUCAGAGAUUUCAUUAGGGAAACCCUAGGAUGAGAGUAGCAGAGAUCAGUAGCAGUAGUAGUGACUUGGUGGAGUCGAGGCAGUUUUGAGGAAAGUACGGAUAGAUGUGGAAGGUAGUAUGGGCAUGUACUACUGAAAGCAGAGGAUCCGUACUUGAAUCAAGGAAGGCCCAGGAGAGACCAGGAAACUUGUAGUAAUAGUGAUCCCUCGAGAUAUAUCAGUAUUUCUAACGUUUGUUGUUAUGUGUUUCAGAAUGGUGGUUUUAUGCCCUAGACCAGCAGUCGACAGUUCAGGUGUCGGUGAGGGAUAAGGACCAGGCUCGGGAGCCGAGCAUUUGGAUGAUCAGACUAGGGAGUUUCACGCUUUAGAGAUUACUCACAUCAUACUUGAGCAGACUCCUGUGAUCUUUGGUUCGACCAAGGAGGGUAUUUUGGAGCUGAUGGAUGAGAGGUUGAGCACCUUUCGUGCUGAGGUGGCGAUCAUGAUGGGGUCGCGCACGCUCACUUUCAGGGAGUUCAGAGCCUGUGGAGCUCCUGGCUAUCAUGGGGCACGGGACCCCAUAGCGAGUACUAGGUGGUUGGCAGAUGUCGCCAACGCAUUCCGCACCAACAGAUGUCCCGAGGGGGACAAGGUCAGAUUAGCAUCCUGUCUUCUGAAGGACAGGGCACAAGAUUGGUGGGAGGAGAUCGGGCAUGUCAUCGGGGAUGACACAUCACUUGAUGCGAUGACUUGGGAUGAUUUUACUACCAAGUACAGAGCUGAGUUUGCACCGGUUAUCGAGGUGCAGCAGUUAGCCAGGGAGUUUCAGGAUCUCACCCAAACUACAGAGACAGUGGCGAAAAUUACCGCCAAGUUCAGGGAGAGGGCUCUUCUCGUUCCUUAGUAUGCAGCUGAUGAGGAAAUGAAGCAGGCCCAUUAUCAUGAGAUGUUGCGGAGUGAUAUCCGCUAGUUUGUGAGCCGGUCCAACUGUAAAACACUGGAUGACAUGAUUGCUAGGGCUUGUGAGAGAGAGAUUGAUUUAGAGAUGGAGAAGAAGAGGAAGCUAGAGGUGGCAUCUGGCACAGGGAGUUCGGGUAAAAAGCCCAAGGUAUCAGAUCAAAGAUCUAGAGGACAGUAGAGCCACAGUCAGUGUAGCAAGUGUGGGAGAUUGCACGAUGGGGCGUGUAAGGCAGGUAGUACCUGUUGCUACAAGUGCGGCCAAACCUGGGAUAUGAGCAGAGAUUGUACAGCUACUCCCACCGUUACCGCAACAUUUGAUCUGAUUUGCUUCCAUUGCAAUCAGAAGGGACAUAAAAAGUCCCAGUGUCCGAGUUUGGCAGCAGCAGGGAAGGUGGCGGCACCUGCCCCUACAACUUUGAGGAUUACAGACAGCCGUCAGGGCCAAAGUGAGGCGCCAAUGGCGAAGAGUAGAGCUUUUCAGAUGACAACAGAGGAGGCGCGAGCGACUCCUGAUGUCGUGCCAUGUACAUAUCUUCCCUUUAUUUCUUUAUUAUUAAUGAUUGUUUCUUAUGAUUAUAUGUUUUUUUAAAUAUAGGGUCGUUCUUAGUGAACGACAUUUCAGCUACAGUAUUGUUUGAUUCGGGGGCUAUCCAAUCAUUUGUUUCACUUGUGCUUAGCAAGAGGUUUAGCAGAGCUCCGGGGGAAUUGGAUUGUCCACUUGAGGUUGAGAUAGCUGAUGACAGGACCGUUAGGAUCGCAAGAGUACAUAGGGCAUGUUCGCUGCAGUUAUUUGAUGAGUAGUUUUCCGUGGACUUGGUUCUCAUUCCCCUGCGAGGGAAUAAGGUUAUAGUGGAUAUGGAUUGGCUAAGCCCUAAUGGGGCAGUGAUUGAUUGUGAGCUACAGUUAGUAAGGGUCUGCACCCCUGGUGGGGGAGAGCUAGUGAUUUAGGGUGAGAGGCCACAUCGCGGACCGAUUCUUUUUUCGGAAGCGAGAGCUCGACGCUACUUCCAGCAGGGUUGCGCGGGGUACGUCGCCUAUGUUUCAGAUGCCCGGGAGAAGGGCAAGGCGACUGUUGACGAUGUACUGGUGGUACGUGAGUACCCGGAUGUAUUUCCAGAGGAUCUGCCUGGGAUACCUCCAGAGAGACGGGUUGAGUUUCGGAUUGACCUGGUUCCGGGUGCGGCUCCGAUAGCCAAGGCGUCGUAUCGGUUGGCUCCUCCAGAGAUGCAAGAGUUGUCUACGUAGCUGCAGGAGCUGCUAGACAAGGGUUUCAUCAGACCAAGUAGUUUACCAUGGGGAGCCCCGAUCCUGUUCGUGAAGAAGAAGGAUGGGUCGCACCGUAUGUGUAUAGAUUAUCGGGAGUUAAUCAAGGUAACGGUGAAGAACCGUUACCCACUCCCGAGGAUAUAUGACUUUUUUGAUCAGCUUCAGGGAGCAUCUUGGUUUUCCAAGAUUGAUCUGCACUCCGGUUAUCAUCAUAUGCGGGUCAGAGGCGAGGAUGUUCAGAAGACAACUUUUAGGACUCGUUAUGGUCAUUAUGAGUUUUGUGGUGAUGCCGUUUGCGCUCACCAACGCUCCAGCCACGUUCAUGGAUCUCAUGAACCGCGUAUGCAGGCCGAUGUUGGAUCGGUCUGUGAUAGUGUUCAUCGACGAUAUCUUGGUUUAUUCCAAGACUCAUGAGCAGUAUGAGGAGCACCUAAGGGAGGUGCUAGAGACUUUGAGGAGGGAGAGACUUUUCGCGAAGUUCUCCAAGUACGACUUCUGGUUGCGCGAGGUGCAGUUCCAUGGAUACCUCGUCAACCUGAAGGGUAUACUAGUGGAUCCGGCCAAGAUAGUGGCCAUGAUGCAGUGGGAGGUCUCGUGCUCUCUAUCUGAGAUUUGGAGCUUCCUAGGUUUGGCAGGGUACUAUAGGAGAUUCAUCCAGGAUUUCUCCAAGAUAGCAGUUCCACUCACCCGACUGACUAGGAAGUCGGUGGUGUUUCGCUGGGGGCCUGAGCAGCAGGNUUUGAGACGUUUAGGCAGCGAUUGUGUGAGGCGCAUAUUUUCACUCUGCAAGAGGGUUUAGAUGACUUUGUAGUCUAUUGUGAUGCUUCGAUCACCGACAUGGGAGCAGUGUUGAUGCAGCGAGGGCAUGUGAUAACUUAUGCCUCUAGACAGUUGAAGCCUCACAAGGCUAACUAUCUGACGCACGAUUUAGAGCUGGGGGCAGUGGUGUUUGCCCUCAAGAUUUGGAGACAUUACCUCUAUGGGGUCCGCUUUACCAUUUACACGGAUCACAAGAGUGUGAGGUACCUCAUGGACUAGCCGAAUAUAAACAUGAGACAGCGUCGAUGGUUAGAUGUUGUAAAGGACUACAAUUGUGAGAUCCUUUAUCAUCCGGGCAAGGCUAACGUUGUGGCCAACGCCCUGAGCCACAAGGAAAUGGCAGCACUGAUCAGAGAUAUGUGUCUGAGGAUGACGGUCAUUACUCCAUUAUUGGAGCAGAUUAGAGAGGCACAAGUCGAGGGCCUGAAGGAGGAGAGGCAAAAGUGUGAGAGGAUUGUGGGCCGAGUAGCUUCUUUCGAUUAUGACAGUCAAGGAUUGUUGACCCUUCAUGGGAGAGUCUGGGUGCUGUAUUAGGGAGGAGUACGUCAAGUGUUGAUGGAUGAGGCCCACAAGUCUCGGUUCUCCAUCCAUCCUGGGGCGACGAAGAUGUAUAGAGAUCUUCGACCCGAUUAUUGGUGGACCUACAUGAAGCGGGACGUAGCCUGGUACGUAGAGAGGUGCCUGACCUGCAGGAAGGUCAAGACAGAACACCAGAGACCCCACAACAAGAUGCAGCUGUUAGACAUUCCUUUGUGGAAAUGGGAGGAUAUCACUAUGGAUUUCAUCACUAAGCUUCCCAGGACCGCACGUGGAGUUGACUCGAUUUGGGUCAUAGUGUAUUGGCUGACCAAGAGCGUGCAUUUCAUACCGAUUCAGGAGAGCAUAUCGGCCGAGAAGCUAGACAAUAUCUAUGUGCGCGAGUUAGUGGCACGGCAUGGGGGUGCCUGUAUCAGUAGUAUUAGACCGAGACGUCCGUUUUACUUCCAGGUUUUGAAAGCGAUUUCAUGACGAGAUGGGUACUUGUCUCCAUUUCACCACCGCUUUCCACCCCCAGACGGACGGGCAGAGCAAGAGGACGAUUCAGACUCUCAAGGACAUGCUUCGGGCAUGUGUCCUAGAUUUCGGUGGCAGUUGGGAUACGUAUCUUCCUUUAGCGGAAUUUUCGUAUAACAACAGUUACCAUGCUAGCAUUGACCGCCCUCCUUUCGAGAUGCUUUACGGGAGAAAGUGUAGGACCCCGAUUUGUUAGGGCGAGGUCGGUCAGCGAGUCAUUGGGAGUACCGAAGUGGUGCUCAAGACGACAGAGUUGAUCCAGCAGGUCCGUAGCAGGCUGCAGACUGCGUAGAGUCGGCAGAAGAGUUACGCUGACAGGAGGCGUUCGGACUUGGAGUUUCAGGUGGGCGAUAUGGUCCUCCUGAAGGUAUCACCCUAGAAGGGUGUUAUCAGGUUCCGGAAGAGGGGCAUGUUGGGCCUCAAGUUCAUUGGUCCAUUUAGGGUUUUGGCCCGGGUGGGUCGGGUUGCUUAUCGGUUGGAUCUUCCUACAGAGCUUAGUCAGAUCCACAACAGUUUCCAUGUUUCUCAGUUGAGGAAGUGUUUGAUGGACGAGUCAACAGUGGUACCCUUGGAGGAUAUUCAGGUUGAUAGGAGCCUGAAUUAUAUUGAGAGGCCCGUUGCGAUCUUGGAUCGGAAAACGAAGAACUUGGGGAACAAGGUGGUCCAGCUAGUGAAGGUGCAGUGGCAGCACCGGAUGGGUUCAGAAUGGACGUGGGAGGCCGAGCAGGAAAUGAGGGAGCAUUAUCCAGAGAUAUUUAUAGAUUCAGCAGCAGCAGACUUCGAGGACGAAGUCUAAGAUAAGUGGGAGAGAGUUAUAACGCCCCAUUUCUGGUAUGUGAUUUAAAUAAAGUAGUUUUUUUUUCAUUUCUUAAGGGGUACUCGACGAGUCAGUAGCCCAACUCUUCGAGUAGAGACGAGAUUUACACGCGGUUUAAGUUGGCGACUCGACGAGUCCAUAUUCUCGGACUCAGCGAGUCUGCCAGUCUGGAUAAAACCCUAAUUUCAAGGGUUUGCACCCUACUUAAACGUCAUUAUAGCCCCAAACCAGCCUCCUUCACUUCCCAGAGACUUAUUCCCGAAACCCUAGCCUCCUUGAAGUGUGUGUGAGUGAUCUUUGCCUUGUGAAGGAACUUUUGGGUUCAUUUUUGGAGCAAGGAGAAGAAGGAGAAGGUAGAAGAACUCAAGGAAGAAGAAGUAGAUUCAUAAUACACUCCUCUUUGGCCAUCCCUUCUGGUAAUGAAGUUUCCAUCUUGAUUAUGAUGCUAAUAGAUCUAGUUUGUCCCCAAAUUGUUGGUUUUAAGCUCAAAAACCCCAAAUCCUUGUGAUAAAGCCUUGUGAUCGAGUCGUAUCUCAGAUCUAGCCUCUCUUGAGCUCCAGAAGCUCAAGGAGACCACCUUUUGUCAGCCAUGGCUUUGUUUUAGUCAAGAAACCUUCCAUAAUAGAAAAGUAUGAGUGUUAUUGCUUCAUUGCAUCUUAUGUACAUGUAAAGUUAGCAACUUUACGUGUUCAGAUAGUCCCAGAAUCUUAGAUCUACGAAUUGGAUGCACUAAAGUUGAUUAGAAUCAACUGUAUGGAAUCUGCAUGCUAAGGACUCGACGAGUCGUUCUUUUGACUCGACGAGUCGGGUCGCUAGUCUUAGAUUCCCAGUUCAGUACUAGCGAGCCUGUGUAGUGAGUAGAGUAAGGACUCAGUGAGUUAAGACUUGGAUCUGGAAGCAGUCGGACUCGACGAGUUGUUCAUAUAACUCGGCGAGUCAAAGACUGGGUGUGUUCUUCUGUUGAAGGGGAACUGGACGAAUUGCUCAUACAACUCGUCGAUUCGGAUGAAGAUUAGAAUCGAUGUUAGUAUCGAAGAAGAACUCCUUGAGUCUUUGCCAAACUCGACGAGUAGAAGGGAGUAGAGGAUUAGAAUGGAUGAUGGGGACUCGGCGAGUUUGGGCAACUGAAAGUUGACUUUGACCUGCAAGUUGACUUGACCAGGGGUAAAUAGUCAUUUUACCCUGAGAUUAGUUAUCAGUAUUUGAUUUAGUGUUUAUGGGAUUUGUAGCCGGGGAGUUCCGGAGCAGCAAUCAGACAGAUUCAGAUCUAGCAUCUCAACAACCAGUGUUGCGAGGUGAGUUUCCUACCAGUAGGAAUGGGUCUACGGCCACAAUGCCGACCCGUUUAGUCAGCAGUAGUUUCGGACUUCGGUCUGAUGCAGUAGUUUAGUGUGCUUGAUGUCUUUGUGAUUCUAGCAUGUCUUUGUGUUAUGUGUUCCAGACCUCGGUCCGAUGCAGUAUGCAAUAUAUAUGUUUAUGUUAGUAGUUAUGAUUAUGCUAUGCUAUGUUUAGUCGGUUUUCGGGCUUCGGUCUGAUGCAGAGGGCAAGGCCCUGGUUAGUUCCGGACGUCGGUCUGAUGCAGAGGGCAAGGCCCCGGUUAGUUCCGAACUUCAGUCUAAUGUAGUUUUCGGACUUCAAUCUGAUGCAGUUUCUGGAUUUCGUUCCGAUGCAGCGGGCAAGGCCCAAUAUGUGAUUAUAUGUUAUUGUAUGGUAUGUGGUAGUUCGGGGAGCUCACUAAGUUUCGUGCUUACAGUUUCAGUUUUGGUUUCAGGUACUUCCGCUAGCAAGGGGAAGAGCUUGGUAUGAUGGCAUCGCACACACCACAACUUCAGUUUUAUCCUAGGGGUUUUAUUUAUAUAUUUUGACAUCAUUGAUAUAGUUUUUGUUUUGGCACAGUUACUUUGACUUUUGAGUUAUUCAUCCUAUGGUUCUUAGUGUAUAUGACAUUUGAUGAUGUGAUUUUUAGUAAUAUUAAAACAAAAUUUUUGGGUCGUAUUUUUGGAUGUUUCAGCUUGUAGAUCCAGCUUUUCCAGUAUUGUGGCAUCAAGAUUAAGGUAUAAAGCUACCACCUUUACAUUUCAUUGCUUAGAUCUCCCCUUUGUGGAAGAAAAUGGUCAUUUCUAGGGCAAGAUAGAGUCAUUUUCGGGUUUGAGCUUAUCACAAGGGCAAAGUUUCAGAUCUUGACUCCACUAGGCUUUGUGGACAGAAAGCCUCAAGCUUUAUGAAGCUUUGACCCUCCUUCAUGUCCAAAACCUUCUCCUAAUGCUAGUUAUGAGUGUUUUAGUUCUAUAGAGUCUUGCAUGCACGUAAAGUUAGUAACUUUACGUGAUAACAACACCCUAGGAGCCUAGAUCUUCGGUUUGGAGCCUUGGUUUGGCAAAGAAGCAUCUGUAUGGAUGAAGGACUAAAGGGACUCAGUGAGUUGCAUGGUCAACUCGGCGAGUCUGAUGAAGAUUGUCGUGGACUCGGUGAGUCAGAUGAGUGACUCGGCGAGUCGGCUAUGGAUUUUCCCUAACCUUUGGACAUGUAUGAACUAGGCGAGUUGCAAGGGAGACUCGACGAUUCGGUCAAGGAUUUUACGACCGCAAACCUUAGGAACUCGACGACUCACUCUAGUAACUCAGCGAGUUGGCGAGUUAUGCAAGGAACUCUGUGA
rnacentral:lncRNA from 1 species